GCAGGCCAAGAAAGAAUUUGAAGAGCAACUAGACAAGGACACACAAACUAAGAGCAAAAGUAUUUGUAAGUACAGCAGACUCGGGAAGCCUGCCAAACAGUCAGGCCACUGGACAACUGAGCUGCUAAAAGAGCACCCAAGGAAAACACGGCUACUACGGAGGAGCUAAACAGGAUGCAGAAGUGAUCCUGGCAAUUACUGGUAGUGACCACUAGAUUAAGUUAUCUCCCCUUGAUACAAGCAGAGCUCCUUGAGACACAUCUGGAACUUCCUGCUGGUGUCCUGGGGCAUCCACAGCAAACCAGUCAAAAGACAGUCAAUGAGAGUGGAGUCGAGCCCAAAAACCAGAAGUGAACAAGCAAUUCACAAAGAGGGACAGUGCCAGUUUUAUUUCUCUCACCAAGAAACUAACGCAGCAAGAAUAGUAUCUGCUCAGAGAGAAACUCUCAGCUGUACUUCCUGCUUGAGCCAAGAGUUAGGGCAGAAAGGAGAAUGAUGCAAAGAAAGUGUUCCUUGGGAGAGAUGAUGUGUCUGUGCUUAUACCAAACCUCUGUAUUUGCAGCACAAUUGGUCAAAUGGGGAAAUCUUCAGCUGCACAACAGCACUUGGGACAAAUAGUCCUGCUGAAAGUGUGUGGCCCAGACAAGAGGUUCCAGGCUGAAAUUCCUUGUGACUUUCCCAGUUUAAAAAUAUUUAAUCACAAAGACCGAACUAGAAUCAGGGAAGAAGAGGAAUAAUUGAGUAUGAAGAAGUUAAAUAGUCUGAGUCCUAUUACUAAACCCUUGUUGGUUCAGCCUGGCACCGCCUCACAGAAGAUAUAGCCAGGUGUGACUUAUAGGCACUGAGGGGUGUCACCCACCUUUUUGAUGGUGUUUCAGCUCUUGGCCCCUCACCAUAAUUCUGAGCUGUCUCAUGAAGACCAGGAGAGUAGUGAGCCUUGCAGGGCUUGCAAGGAUAAUGGUGCAGAUGACACAGAGCAAGUACCCAUCAUGUCUGGUUAGAUUCUGUCUCACAGAACCUGCACAAUAGGCUACAAUAGGAAUUAGCAGGUCUAGCAUAGUGCUGGUCCCUUCAUUCCCACAAGAUCUCCUACAAGUGUCACCAGUGUUGUAUGAUCAUAGUGUCAAAGACUGCAGAGCACUCUAGCAGAAACUGCAGAGGGGUUUAGAUGUGGCUCAAGACCAAGAAGGGAUGGUUCAUCAGCUCCAGAAAAACCAUCUCUGGGCAGUGUCUGACACCUAAUUAUAGUGAAGGCAGAAGAGAUGCCGCUAGAACUUGGAUGCCAUCACUUUCUCAAUAGCUUUACCAAAAAUAAAAGGAUAGAUGGUUAGGGUAAGUGUAACGGCCUGUACUUUUUAAGGUGGCUCAUUGAUACUUUCUGUGAAGGCAAGAUUGAUGAUGUCAAUAUGAGGCCCAGUUGUUCUUUGCUUGCAAGACGGGCAGGGUGUCUAUGUCAUAUAUAACAAUCUGGAUCCACCUCAGAGCUUCCAGGAGCCUGAGGAAUGUCGAUCCCCCCUCCCACCCCCAGCUGCCAUAUUAGUUACUGUGAAACUAGGGUGACCAGACAGCAAAUGUGAAAAAUCUGGAUGGGGUAGGAGAUAAUAGGAGCUUAUACAAGAAAAAGACCCAAAAAUCAGGUCUGUCCCUAUAAAAUUGGGACAUCUGGUCACCGUAUGCGAAACACAUGAGCUUUGGACAUGCAGUCACUGGCUGUGGUUGGUAAUGGCUAAUUAUUAGAGCAAGAAGCAGGGACUCGGGAAUCUGUCAUUCUAGU